GAGAGGGGAGAUAAAGGGAAAGUGACGAGAGAAGAAGGUGACCACAAACUCGUUAUAACACGGCGAGAGAACAGUUUUACGUAGUUUUAAUUUUGUCCAAGAUCCAAUCGGACGCUUAUCACGCACAUUAUUUUCUGACUUGAUGUUUGACGAUCGUAGCUAUUUUUUUACGGUCAAAUUUGCAUUUAUUUAUCUGGAUUUGAAAUCCUUGUUUAUUGGUUGUUUGUUUUUUUUCUUGGCUUUUGUUAUUGUUUACCGCUGUGACGCACUUAUUCAUAAUUUGUUUAUUGAAAAGGGCAUUACGCGACUAGCACUUUGAGGUUUUGGAAGGAUUCCCGCAACAGUUAAUAUCUCUAAGUAGCCGGCUUUCUAAAGAGGUCGGCUUCUUUACUGCACCAACCGACGUCAAAAUCUACAAAUCUGCUAAGAUAUCGUUUCCAUUUCAGUACGCGUUGUAUUUUUCGUUCCAGGGAGCUUUUGAAAAAUUACGCAAGAAUCCCGGUCUCCGAUUGGUUCUUUUUCUAUCCACCUGUAUUCCUGUCAGUCCGGAGUUAUCCUUCGCCACAUGCAGAUUCUACACGUGUUAUGCGAAGCGCACAAAAGAACCCCAGCAGCGAGAUAAAGAAGGAUCGCAACGAAAAUUCUAACUUGAAAUAACACUCAAAAGGUUUUCUAGCAUAGAAAUGGGUUCCUGUAUGUUUUGCUUUGAAGCCAUUCAACUGUCACGCUGUCACGGGGUUGGCAAAGGCUUAUCUCAUAUUUACAUUGACAUCCAAACAAUAACAGAAUGAUAAUAAAUCCACUAAAAUACAUCAAUGUGCAGUUAAGAUUUGUAAAUGGAAGUAAAAACUCCGAAUAACACAAUGAUUAGUACAGCUGCUAUUUAGCGUGUUAUUUUGUUUGUACUUUGGAAGAGAUGAAAACGUGAUUUUUACGAAAAUUUGCAGCGAUGUGAUCAUGGUAAUAUUCAAGAUAUCGGACGGGUAUAUGAAAAAGCAACCUAAAGCCAAGAGGACAAUAAAGCACGUGCUGGUUGUUCGCCAAAAGAAAGGUGCGCGAUGUCCUUUUGCGCACACUACUGUGCAACCCACAGGGUUACCGAAAUGUCUUUGAUGGGCACUUGUAAAGAGAACAACCAUGAAUACUGCAAGUAGUUUUUAGAUAAACAAGUAAUCGUAAUUAAAAGUAGAGCAUGCAGACAUUGUACCAAUUUUGCAAGGAAAUUCAGUUUUUUUGGAAAUCGUUCCCCACAAGAAGAAUAGGGGGUGGAGAAAGAAGUAAUAAAGAAAUACAAGAAAAGCGGCGUAAUUUUAG